UUGAAUGACCAGUUUCAGCUGCGGAUCACCCUUCAAUCUAGUCCCGCAUCCCCAGUUACCGGUAGCUACUGGUAGCAAUCCUCCGCCCUGAGGACUGUUCUCGCGCGGCAACUACGCACAGUUUCGCAUGGACUCCCGCGUAUUCGUCGCAACCACGAAGAGAGGACGACUUCCAGUGGCGUUCCAGUGCGGCGGUUAUAUUGAGAAGAACGAAGAAGCUAGAAAUAUGAGUGCGGAGAGAAAAUUGGAUAGAUUGAGAGACAAACAGAUAUAUUCGUUUAUAAAUAUGAUUAGUCGCGAGGAUCUUGAAACAUGUCAGAUGAAAGAGAGCUCUGCUCGUCCGGCAUGCAUCGAGUCGAAGAAAGGAGGAAAGAGUCACGGAGAGACUCGCGAAACAAUUCUCAAGUCUCGACGAGCACGUUCACAUUCGAGAGACGGAGGCAUUUCAGGAAACAUUUCGGACACGGUGCACUUCCAAUUUUUUCCCUCUCUCUCUCUCUCUCUCUCUCUCUCUUCUCCCCAAUCUCUCAAACACAGACGAUUCAACAGAGAAAGAAGAGAACAGGAAAACACAGUCACCGCCUCAUGCGAUUACACGCGAUAUACGGGUCAAGUCCAGAAUCACCUCGGCACCGGCCGGAACGCAUUUUGCGCUCGCCGUUCGGCUCGAGGCGCCGACGGGGCUCGAUGCCUUCGCCGCCGGCGUGCAGGACAGGUAUACGGUGGUCUGAUCAUCAACCAACGUUUGGAACACUUCCGACGUGAACGUAACGGCCCAAAGUUUCCUACGUUGGGAGUCCUUCGCCUCUCUUACCAUCUCGCACGAGGCGUCCUCGUAGCGAUCUACACCUUCCGAUUCAGACACCUGUAUAGCAUAUCGUCUUGCCUAUAGUCGAAAUUCAGAAUCUCGGCAUUUCGUUCGCCGAAUAGUCCGCGUUAGAUUAGUCUUGCUUUGACGCGAAUCAACUCGUGGACUGUCUCUCAUUCCACCUUAAUGUGCGCUACGAGGCAUUCAAGGACUGUCGUACGUUCUCACGGUUAUGAGCGUUUGUGAUCUUUAAUCAGCGAGUAAAGUGUAAGUAAACAUGACAAACUUGCUUAUCUAGUUCUUCUUUGGCUCCAGAAAAGGACACUAAUUUAAAACAAAAAAGAAAGUACCACUCGCUCAUCAUCAUAUUUCGUCGCUUUCUAUCAUAUUUCAAAAGAUAUACAUUUAAUUACAGUUUAUUACUAAGCAAUUAGAUGCAUCAGUAACCCUCUUCAGGUUCAGUUUGCCGAUGUCUUUUUCCAGAGCCAGAAGAUUAACCGUUGAGCAAAUCGUUUCGCAAAAUAUAUUGGAUCUCCUUUUAAUUCAGCCAUUCUGUUGCAGGCACGCCGUAAGCUGAUGUUUCCAUAAGAAUCUACUGUGCCUUACUGAUUGCUGCCUUCGGUUCUUUUGACGAGCGAGCUCCAAGCUGAGGCUCCUCACGGCCAACGCCAGUUUGUGCCGUUGGUUCACGUCGUUCGAGUCGAUAAAUGGCUGAGGCUCUCCUUCCUGGACCGGCACACCGGCGAACGACUCGCUCAGAGCGCGCUUCAGAAGCGAACCGGCGAAUCUCACCACCGCCCGAUCCCUCGCAUCUAGCUCCCGGCUCUCGUCCGCCACUAUCGGGUCUUCCAGCCACUUGGACAGCUGUUCGUAGACUUCUUCCAGCUCAGAACAGAAAUCUGCAAGAUUUGUCCACGUGGCUGCCGCUGACACUGAUGCCAACAGCAUAACUGCUCUCUCCGGACGAGGUGUUGGAAGAAGUUGCGCCGGUCGCCGUGCUCUCCCGCUUUAAGGCGUCCUUCAGUCGCUGCGCGAAGGUUCCCCGUCUCUCAGGCGUGUCCAGUUGUGCGCUUGUAAAACACGCGUGUGCCGCACCGGGUUCCUCGUCGAUGGUCUCUUUGGCACUGUGGAAGCUGUCAGUGCUCUGGCUGUUGCAGCUGCUGUAGACCGACAUCUGGCCGAGGGAUUUGCGCGUCACCGGCAGUACCUCGCCGCUCGA